rnacentral:misc_RNA from 1 species
UUUGCAAGAGAAUUUCUGUUAGAUAAAAAAUUAGAGGCUGUCUUCCUAACUGAAGUUGACAUUGCUGGAGGAAAAUCCCGAACAACUACAGCAUCCUUGUUAAGAGACUACCGGGUACAAGCUUCAGAAGAAUUGGGCAUCAAUGCCCUUCAUGAUGGAGUGGCAGAACGCCAAGAACUGUUGAAGAAUCGAUUCAUCUAUCCUGCAAGGGAAUUGGAAGGCAGAAUCUUAUUGGCAGCUGAGAAAUCAUUGGAGGUUUCCUUUUGAGAGUUGCAAAUGAGUUUCUUAAAGGAAGGACAAAAAACCGGUCACAUGUUCUCGUGGUUACAGGAUGUCUGCACCUUGUAUCAUCAGUGUUAGCUCGUCUCUGUGGAUAUAAUGUCUUGCAAUUGCUCUUCUCCCCCCUUCUCCCCCACCCAAAUAGUAGUUAGGAGCAAGUACACUGUCAAAACACAAUUGAUAUACUUAUCUCUCUGCAG